UACAGAGGGGGCAAGCGUUGUUCGGAAUUACUGGGCGUAAAGGGCGCGUAGGCGGCCUUCUAAGUCGAACGUGAAAUCCCCGGGCUCAACCCGGGAACUGCGUCCGAUACUGGAAGGCUUGAAUCCGGGAGAGGGAUGUGGAAUUCCAGGUGUAGCGGUGAAAUGCGUAGAUAUCUGGAGGAACACCGGUGGCGAAGGCGACAUCCUGGACCGGUAUUGACGCUGAGACGCGAAAGCGUGGGGAGCAAACAGG
rnacentral:rRNA from 1 species